UACGUAGGGGGCAAGCGUUGUCCGGAUUUAUUGGGCGUAAAGAGCGUGUAGGCGGCUAGACAGGUCCGCUGUGAAAACUCGAGGCUCAACCUCGAGACGUCGGUGGAAACCGUCUGGCUAGAGUCCGGAAGAGGAGAGUGGAAUUCCCGGUGUAGCGGUGAAAUGCGCAGAUAUCGGGAAGAACACCUGUGGCGAAAGCGGCUCACUGGACCAUAACUGACGCUGAUGCACGAAAGCUGGGGGAGCAAACAGG
rnacentral:rRNA from 1 species